AAGGGCCGUACUUGUACGGUCUGGGAAGUGGCGGACGGGUGAGUAACACGUUGGAACCUGCCUUAGAGUUGGGGACAACCACUGGAAACGGUGGCUAAUACCCGAUAGACUCGGGAGAGUAAAGGUUACUUGGGUAACUGCUUUAAGAGGGGCCUGCGGGCUAUCAGCUAGUUGGUGAGGUAAGAGCUUACCAAGGCGAAGACGGCUAGGGGGCGUGAGAGCGCGACCCCCCACAAUGGGACUGAGACACGGCCCAU
rnacentral:rRNA from 1 species